rnacentral:rRNA from 1 species
CGAACGCUGGCGGCAGGCCUAACACAUGCAAGUCGAGCGCCCAGCAAUGGGAGCGGCGCACGGGUGAGUAACACGUGGGAAUAUGCCUCGGGAUCGGGAAUAACGGCGGGAAACUGCCGCUAAUGCCCGGUACGCCUUGAGAGGGAAAGGAGCAAUCCGUCCUGAGAGUAGCCCGCGUUGGAUUAGCUAGUUGGUGGGGUAACGGCCCACCAAGGCUACGAUCCAUAGCUGGUCUGAGAGGAUGAUCAGCCACACUGGGACUGAGACACGGCCCAGACUCCUACGGGAGGCAGCAGUGGGGAAUCUUGCACAAUGGAGGAAACUCUGAUGCAGCGAUGCCGCGUGAGUGAAGAAGGCCUUUGGGUUGUAAAGCUCUUUUGUAGGGGAAGAUAAUGACUGUACCCUAAGAAUAAGGUCCGGCUAACUUCGUGCCAGCAGCCGCGGUAAUCUGAUGGCGCGAGG